CUGCAGGCUGGACACAGCACUGUCCCUGGAGCUGUGUGGAGUGAAUGACUUCAUGUCUCACACAUCCCUGCUUAAAUGUCUCCUUAUGAUGCUCACUGAGCUGCAGAAAUUCUGUUCUAUCUAAUCCCUCGUCCACAGUCUAACCAACAUAUUAAAAACCAAAAUCAUUCCCUAUCAUGGUUGCUCAACCUUUUUCAUUGAAAAGGUAUCAGAUAUUUUUCCCCUUCUUUCUGGUCUUGGAGAGAAAAACAAUUUGAACCAUCCCAGCUCUCUGUUGUUGUUGUAAGUGCAGGUCUCACGUUUGUUGUGUUGCUAGGGAGUGUGUGCAGCUUUUGUUGCUUUUGAAUUAUAGCUGCUAGCACUUAUCUUCUCCUCCAGCAAAACGUUUUUAUAGCAAGUUCUUUGAAAGCAGUGCAGUCAUUUGUACUUAAGACAGAAUUAUGGCAGCAGCAAACAGUUACAGGGAAGAAUAAAGCCUGAUGUUGCUUCUACACACAGAAAUGAACAGCAGACCCCUCCAGACCUCUGCAAAACUGCUAUAUGCCCCAUUGUACCCAUAAAUUCCUCCAGUGCUUCUGCUGACCUGGAUGCUCUGGUUUCAAUCAAACCCUGGCUCCAUGUCCAGGAAUUGGGGCCAUCCCCCUCCCCCAGCUUCCCAGCCCCAGCUCAAACAGGGAGGAUUUCCUGCCACCAUAAAGCUGUAAUUGCUGAAUUAAUAACAGCAGGUUUUGAAGAGCGACUGCACAGACUCUCUGACCCAGACAUUUUCCUGAAAGCAAAUGACUUGUCUGGAGUGAAGCCUUCCACUCCAGUGCCACAGAACAGAAGUGAGUGUGAGAUCUGAAGUGCAGAUUUGUUGCUCCUCUCCAACACAGACAGUGAGAAGUGGCCACAUCACCUGGAGGUGACAUCAUCAAGCUCUACAACAGAGAUGGGAAGAGCAUCACCUGAGCUCAGAUCCUCCUGUUCUUCACAAAGAAGAAUGCACCCAUUCUGCAUUUCUCCAGGUUCAGAAAGGUGGCAACUUUUAUGGCUCUUCAUGUCCUGUAAAGUAAUUAAA